rnacentral:sRNA from 1 species
AUGGUGGAUGGAAUUCCUGGCAGGCAUAGGGAGCUUGGUCGUCCUGUGAUAGGGCCUGUGGGAGGGGCAGCAGGAUCCGGUACGGCGUACGGGAAUGUAACAACCCCACGCCAAAAAAAUGGUGGCGUCCGGUGCCCAGGAUCUCAUAUCAGAAAAAAUUCUGGAUCGUGUUUAUUAAAACACUGUCCAGUAAAUGGAGCAUGGAGGCCUUGGCAGGCUUGGGCAGUGUGGUCCUCUUGUGACAAGACCUGUGGAAACGGACGGAGAACCCGACAGAGAGCGCGUGUCUGUAAUAAUCCCUCGCCAAAAUAUGGCGGCUUGCCAUGCCGCGGAUCUCACAUCAAGAGAGAAUCCGGAUUUUGUUUACGAAAACAUUGUCCAGGAACGUACAGAUACAUGUAAUCAAUAACCCUAAAUCUAUUUAUCUGUCCGUCCAACCAUCAG